rnacentral:rRNA from 1 species
ACUCAAUAGAUACCCGGGUGGUCCACGCCGUAAACGAUGGAUGCUAGCUGUUAUAGGUAUCGACCCCUGUAGUAGCGAAAGCUAACGCGUUAAGCAUCCCGCCUGUGGAGUACGGUCGCAAGACUAAAACAUAAAGGAAUUGACGGGGACCCGCACAAGCGGUGGAGCGUGUUGUUUAAUUCGAUGGUAAACGAAGAACCUUACCCAGGUUUGACAUCCUUGGAAUUUCUCCGAAAGGAGAGAGUGCUUUAUUGAGCCAAGUGACAGGUGAUGCAUGGCCGUCGUCAGCUCGUGUCGUGAGACGUUUGGUUAAGUCCAUCAACGAGCGCAACCCUUGUGAUUAGCUGAAUUUUUCUAAUCAGACUGCCCUGGUAACAGGGAGGAAGGAGGGGAUGAUGUCAGGUCAGUAUUUCCCUUACAUCUGGGGCUACAAACACGCUACAAUGGCCGGUACAAAGGGCAGCCAAGUCGCGAGACGGAGCAAAUCCCAUCAAAGCCGGUCUCAGUUCGGAUUGCAGGCUGAAACUCGCCUGC